GGUCAAGCUACAAAGAGUUUAUGGUGGAUGACUUGGCGACAGCAGGCGAUGAAGGACGUGGUAAGCAGCGAUAUGCUCCGGUGAGCCGCAAACAUGCUUUGACCCGGAGAUUUCCGAAUGGGGAAACCCGUCUGGAGUAAUGUCCAGACAUCCCGAAAGGGAAGCGAGACCAGGAGAAUUGAAACAUCUUAGUAACCUGUGGAAAAGAAACCGAAUAGUAUUCCCUGAGUAGCGGCGAGCGAAACGGGAAUAGCCUAAACCUCACUUACGUGUAGCCUGUAUGCGUUGUAUUUGGGGUGUUGUGGGAGUAAGCUGGAUCGAGAUACAGAUCGAUCGGGAAGUUACAAAUCCAUAUUCCUAGCAGAACGACCUGGAAAGGUCGACCAUAGAAGGUGAUAGUCCGGUAUGCGAAAGGGAUUGGACUUCUUUGGCCUAUUUCCCAAGUACUAUGAGACACGUGAAACCUCAUAGGAAUCCGGCCAGACCACUGGCUAAGGCUAAAUACUGACUGUUGACCGAUAGCGCACAAGUAAUGUGAAUGAAAGUUGAAAAGUACCCCUGUAAGGGGAGUGAAAUAGUACCUGAAACCAUGAACUUACAAGCGGUGGAAGGGCUAUGCUAUGCCUUCGGGCAUAGAAUGCCUGACUGCGUGCCUUUUGCAUAAUGAACCGGCGAGUUACUUAGCGUAGCAAGGUUAACCCCGCUAAGCGGGGGAAGCCGUAGCGAAAGCGAGUCUGAAUAGGGCGACAUAGUUGUGUUAAGUAGACCCGAAUGCCAAGUGAGCUACCCAUGGCCAGGAUGAAACUUCGGUAAAACGGAGUGGAGGUCCGAACCCGUUAACGUUGAAAAGUUAUGGGAUGAGUUGUGGGUCGGAGUGAAAGGCUAAUCAAACUUGGCGAUAGCUGGUUCUCCUCGAAAUAUCUUUAGGGAUAGGCUUGAGUAAAUAGGUAACGGAGGUAGAGUACUGAAUGGGCUAGGGGCCCUACCAGGCUGCUGAACCCAAUCAAACUCCGAAUGCCGUUACCCUUACCUCAGGACUCAGAGAGUAGGGGAUAAGCUCUAUUCUCGAAAGGGAAACAGCCCAGACCGCCAUCUAAGGUCCCCAAAUACUAGUUAAGUGGUAAAGGAUGUGAAACUGCUUAGACAACCAGGAUGUUGGCUCAGAGGCAGCCAUCAUUUAAAGAGUGCGUAACAGCUCACUGGUCAAUUGUGGUUUCGCGCCGAUAAUGAUCGGGGCUCAAACUAGUUACCGAAGCUGCGGAUUCAAUGUUUCUUCGGAAAUGUUGAGUGGUAGAGGAGCGUUCCAUUCUAGGCUGAAGGCGCACCGUAAGGAGCGCUGGACGAAAUGGAAGUGAUUAUGCCGGUAUAAGUAGCGAAAAAACGGGCGAGAAACCCGUUCGCCGUAAAUCUAAGGUUUCCUGGGGAAGGUUAAUCCGCCCAGGGUUAGUCGGUCCUAAGCCGAGGCCGAAAGGCGUAGGUGAUGGAUAGCCGGUUUAAUAUUCCGGCACCGCUUACUCGACGUUUAAGUCUGGAGUGACGUAGGAAGUUAAGUCAUCGCGCGGAUGGAUGUGCGCGUUUAAGCCCGCACCUCUAUAGCACCAAAUUAGCUAAGAGGGAGGGGUGACGAGGAGCCCGAUCUACGGAAAGGGCGAACUGACUGACACUACACUACCUAGAAAAGCUUCAGGAUGAGUCGAGCAAACGACCGUACCGUAAACCGACACAGGUAGAUGAGGAGAAAAUCCUAAGGCGCUCGAAAGAACCCUCGUUAAGGAACUCGGCAAAAUAGCCCCGUAACUUCGGAAGAAGGGGUGCCUAUCUUCGGAUAGGCUUCAAUAAAGAGGCUCUUGUGACUGUUUAGCAAAAACACAUGUCUCUGCUAACUCCAAAAGAGGAAGUAUAGGGACUGACACCUGCCCGGUGCCGGAAGGUUAAGGGAAGAGGUUAGCCGUAAGGCAAAGCUUUGACUCGAAGCCCCGGUAAACGGCGGCCGUAACUAUAACGGUCCUAAGGUAGCGAAAUUCCUUGUCGGGUAAGUAGAAACGAGCCCGUACUGGCUUAUAACGGUGAAGCCCUCGUUGUUGCAAUUCUCAAGGAAAUUGUGUUAACAUCAGGGUAAUACCGUGGGAAGUCGUCUACAGUUUGUAGAUUGACCCCGUAACGACUGAAGGCGAAAGCCUGAGAUGGUUGGAAAUUCUAACCGCCAUAAUACGCCAGGAUUUCUUCUAGAGGGGAAGAUGGAUAUAGGCUCAUAUUUAUCAGGUUAUGCUGAUGGAGAAGGCUGUUUUUGUGUAUCAAUAAACAAAAGCAGACGACAUAAAUUUGGCUGGGAAAUAAGACCCAGUUUUUCUGUUAGCCAAAACCGUGACCGCAUAAACGUGCUAAAAAUAUUCAAACAACGUUUUAAAUGUGGCACGAUCAGGCCUGAUAGAUCUGAUAAGACGUUGAAAUUCGAAAUACGCAGCGUCGAUAAAUUGGUAACGAAUGUAAUUCCGCAUUUUAAGAAAUAUCCGCUACUUUCAAGUAAGAGUGUUGAUUUUGAAAGAUUUGCGGAUAUUUGCAGCAGAAUGCAACUCAAGCAGCAUCUUACCAAGAAAGGCCUUCAAGAUAUCCUAAAACUUGCGAGCGAAAUUAAUCGCGCUGGCAAAAAGAAAUUCCCCCGAGAAGAAAUUAAGAUAUAGUCUGCGCCUCUAGAAAUAGAGGAAUAACGCGAAGUUCCGACCUGCACGAAUGGUGUAACGACAGGAGCGCUGUCUCAACGAGGGGUUCGGUGAAAUUGUAGUAUCGGUGAAGAUGCCGGUUACCCGCAACAAGACGGAAAGACCCCGGAACCUUUACUGUAUCCUGGUAUUGGAUUUUGGUUAGAUAUGUGUAGUAUAGGUGGGAGGCUUUGAUGCAUGGGCGCUAGCCUGUGCGGAGCCAACAGUGAAAUACCACCCUUAUCAUACUAGGGUUCUAACCCACCCCUGUGAAUCCAGGGGGGGGACAGUGCCAGGUGGGCAGUUUGACUGGGGCGGUUUCCUCCAAAAGUGUAACGGAGGAGUUCGAAGGUUCCCUCAGUACGGUUGGUAAUCGUACGUGGAGCGUAAAGGCACAAGGGAGCUUAACUGUGAGACUGACAAGUCGAGCAGAUGCGAAAGCAGGACUUAGUGAUCCGACGGUGUAGUGUGGAAUUGCCGUCGCUCAACGGAUAAAAGGUACUCCGGGGAUAACAGGCUUAUCUCCUCCAAGAGUUCAUAUCGACGAGGAGGUUUGGCACCUCGAUGUCGGCUCAUCACAUCCUGGGGCUGGAGAAGGUCCCAAGGGUCUGGCUGUUCGCCAGUUAAAGUGGUACGUGAGCUGGGUUCAGAACGUCGUAAGACAGUUCGGUCCCUAUCUGUUGCGGGCGUAGGAUACUUGAAGAGGAAAUGUCCUUAGUACGAGAGGACCGGGACAUACGGACCUCUGGUGUUCCAGUUGUCACGCCAGUGGCAUAUGCUGGGUAGCUACGUCCGGAAAGGAUAAGCGCUGAAAGCAUCUAAGCGCCAAGCCCCCCUCAAGAAUAGGUAUCCCGUCGUCGCAAGACGACCGAAGACACCUUGAAGAUUACAAGGUUGAUAGGUUCCAUGUGUAAGGCCCGUAAGGGUUUUAGCUUAGGGAUACUAAUCUGUCGUAGCGGCUUGACCAU
rnacentral:rRNA from 1 species